UAGAGCACAAUACGAUGAAAGUUGUGAGUUGUGUUUGGGGGGAGGGAUUUAUUUUUUAUCAUUGGCCUCUAUGGUAGAAUCAGUCAGGGAGGCCCGAGAGAUGGUGGUUUACCCUUU
rnacentral:ncRNA from 1 species